rnacentral:rRNA from 1 species
AUGCCUGGGCCAUGCCCCCGACGCGCGCGCCGCAUCCCGGCAUCCUCGGCCCGCGGCCCGCGGGUCAUCAGGCGCUGCUCGCCGCGCCCCAGCCCGGCGGGGUCCCUCCUCCGCCGCCCUCUUCGUGGCCGCCGGCGCCUACCUCCUCCUGGACGGGCGCUUCUUCGUCCACCUACGACCCCGCCCUCCUCGCUGCACUUCAGCAGGCCCCGCCGCCGAGCGCCUACCCCGGGAACGGCGACUGGUUCAUGGACACCGGGGCCUCCUCUCAUAUGGCGUCGCACCCUGGACCUGCAGACCAAGACGGUGCUGCUCCGAUGUAAUAGCCCGGACGACCUGUACCCGCUCCGGGCGUCGCCUGCUGCCCCCGCUCCGGUUGCGCUCUCCAUCGGUCUCGACCUGUGGCAUGCACGCCUUGGGCACCCCGGCGUUUCAGCUAUGCAGCAGCUUCUUCGUAGUUUCCCUUUCAGUUGUAAUAAAACAGAGAAACACUCAUGUUCCGCCUGUCGGCUUGGCAAACACACGCGCCUCCCGUUCUCUGAAUCUUUUUCAGUUUCUAGUUUCCCUUUUGAACUACUCCAUUGUGACGUCUGGACAUCUCCAAUAAAGAGCAAUUCUGGUUUUGAGUAUUACUUGGUGUUGCUUGAUGAUUUUUCUCACUUCGUCUGGACUUUCCCUCUCCGCUGUAAAUCUGACGUGAUCACCGUGCUCACCUCGUUUUUUGCCUUUGUGCGUACUCAGUUUCGUCACUCCAUCCUCGGGCUUCAAACAGAUAACGGCAGGGAAUUUGACAACCAGGGCGUCCACACGCUGCUCGCCGCGCACGGCUCCAUCCUACGUCUCACUUGCCCGUACACGUCGCAGCAGAACGGGCGCGCCGAGCGCGUGCUCCGCACGCUCAACGACGGUGUCCGUGCUCUGCUUCUCCAUGCCGGCGCCCCUCCACGGUUCUGGGCCGAGGCCCUCGCCACGUCCACGCGCCUUCUCAACAUGUGCCCGUGUCGUCCCCGUGGUAAUUUUUCCCCCUACCAUCUUCUUUUCGGCCACCCACCCUCCUUUGCCGAUCUCCGCGUCUUCGGGUGUCGCUACUACCCCAAUGUCCUGGCCACCGCUCCUCACAAGCUCGCCCCGCGGUCUCUUCCAUGUAUCUUCCUCGGAUAUCCCGCAAACACAAAGGGGUACCGCUGUUACGAUCCGGAGUCCAACCGCGUGAUCAUAUCCCGGCAUGUUUAUUUUGACGAGCUCGUGUUCCCGUUUAAGCAGGUUGCCGCACCGCCAUCUUCCCCGCCGGUCUCAUCGCCGGCCCGCGUCGUGGUCCCUCUGGACACUCACGAGCCUCGCCGGCCCCGCUUGGCACGUCUUCACCGCCAGCCGCCGGCUCCCCGGCGCUCUCCGGCUUCGUCGCGCCCGCCUGCUGGCUCGCCCGCGUCGGGCGCUUCUACUGCUCCAUCAGCUGAAGCUGGCUCUACAUCAGCCUCGGCCAACUCUGCUGCGUCUCCCGCUGCCCCUUCUGCGGGCCUGGCAGCCGCUGCACCUGCUAUGGUGUCACCCGCGGCCAGCUCCGCUGUAGCCGCCGCCGCCCCUCCAGCUGGCUCCGCUGGCCUGGGCGCCCCGGCUGCCGCUCCAGGCGUGUCACGGGUCGUCACUCGAGCCCGUGCUGGAGUCCAUCGGCCCAGCAGCCGGUACCCGUCGGACCAGUACGUCUGCGCGGCGUCCACCUCGUCGUCCUCGACCACUCUCCCGUCGUCAGUUCACGCGGCUCUUCGCGAUCCACUCUGGGUCGCGGCCAUGCGUGAAGAAUUCGAGGCGCUCCAGCGCAACCAUACUUGGCAGUUGGUGCCCCGCCCACCGGGCGCCAACGUGAUCAGCGGCCGGUGGGUGUUCCGCCGCAAGCUUCGCUCCGACGGCACCCUCGAGCGGUACAAGGCCAGAUGGGUCGUCCGGGGCUUCCGCCAACGCGCCGGCGUCGACUUCACCGACACGUUCGCGCCCGUCGUCAAGCCCGGCACGAUCCGGUGCGUCCUGCAGCUCGCCGUCUCGCGCCAGUGGGAUGUACACCAGCUUGACGUCUCCAACGCGUUCCUGCAUGGGCAUCUUGCCGAGCGCGUGUACUGCCAACAGCCGGCAGGUUUUGUCGACGCUGCCCACCCCGACGACGUCUGUCUCCUGUCACGUUCGCUCUACGGCCUCAAACAGGCGCCGCGCGCGUGGUAUCAACGGAUCGCCGGCUACCUCGUCGAGCUCGGCUUCGUCUCCACGCGGUCCGACGCGUCUCUUUUUGUGUACAGGCAUGCCUGCGACAUGGCGUACCUGCUCUUGUACGUCGACGAUAUCGUCCUUACGGCGUCCAGUGGUGAUCUUCUUCGCCAACUCAUUGGUCGUCUGCACGCUGAGUUCGCGCUCAAAGACUUGGGGCCGCUGAGCUACUUCCUGGGCGUGGAGGUCUCCCGGCGCCCCAAUGGCUUCUUCCUGUGUCAGAAGAAGUAUGCGCUGGAGAUCCUGGAGCGUGCGGGCAUGGCGAACUGCAAGGUCGCCUCCACCCCCGUCGACACCAAGGCCAAGGUCUCCGCGGCGGACGGCGUUUUGGCUCCUGACGGCGCCUUCUACCGGAGCAUCGUGGGCGCGCUCCAGUACCUGACCCUUACCCGCCCCGACCUGACGUACGCCGUCCAACAGGUGUGCCUGCAUAUGCACGCGCCGCGCGACGUCCACUGGAGUCUUGUGAAACGGAUUCUACAGUACAUCCGUGGCACACCGUCGCUCGGGCUCACUCUGCAUCGCUCGACCUCGCUCGACAUCGUCGCCUACUCCGACGCGGACUGGGCGGGCUGCCCCGACACCCGACGAUCUACGUCCGGCUACUGCGUCUUCCUCGGUCCUUCGCUCGUCUCCUGGUCCUCGAAACGCCAGCCGACGGUCUCCCGCUCCAGCGCGGAAGCCGAGUACCGCGCCGUGGCCAACGCCGUCGCUGAGUGCGCGUGGCUGCGUCAGCUACUCGAGGAGCUCCACUGCAGCGUUCAUCGUGCCACUCUGGUCUACUGCGACAAUGUGUCGGUGGUCUAUUUGUCUGCCAAUCCGGUGCAUCAUCGGCGGACAAAGCACAUAGAACUUGACAUUCAUUUUGUACGGGAGAAAGUUGCGCUCGGACAGGUCCGAGUUCUUCAUGUCCCCACCACGCAACAACUUGCCGACAUCAUGACGAAGGGGUUGUCUACCACGGUCUUCACGGAGUUCCGGUCCAGCCUCUGCAUCACCGACGGUGAAGCUUCGACUGCGGGGGGGUGUUGA